UUCCAGCAACCCUCAGUUUGUUAACUGAGAUUAAGAAUUCCUCAUAUCGGGAGCAAGAUGGCGGAGGAGUAGGAGACCUAAAUUUCAUCUGGUCCCAGGAAUUCAGCUGGAUAGGGAUCAAACCAUUCUGAACACCUACAAACUCAACAGGAGAUCGAAGAAAAGAAUAGCAACAACUCUCUGAACAGAAAAGCGACCACUUUCUGGAAGUGACUGAUAACGGAUGAAGCAGAUGAGUUUGCUGCAGGGCUUGAAAACAAAAUGAAAAAUCCUGGAGAACCCGACAGUCCUUUGUCCUCUAAGAGAAGGUAGAGGAUGGCCUUGCUGUGAAUGAAAUAGGAAGGAAGAUGGUUUAAAAAAAGGAUUCACGACCUUGAGAAGUUGUUUGGAAGGGAUUGCUCGACUGCCUGGAGACUCGUUGAGGAACGACUGGAUGGUGCCAGGACAGACACCUGCGGGACCCGACAGAAACCUACGGGGCCGUCGCCAGACCCCGCAGCUGCCCUCGCUGACUCACCUCGGCCCCGGAUGGUGGGGGGGGGGGGGGCGCCCUGAAGGCUCUCAGCUCGCCCGCGCCCCCGGACCCCCCCCUCCCCGCACGUCCCCGCCCGGCAGCUGCAGCGUGGCCAUCGCCCCCGCCACUGGGAGCCAGGGCUCGGGGUCUGCCCGGUCCUGGUCCUCCGGGAAGGCGUCCCACCGCCGCCGUCCUACCGCACCCCAGCUCCGUGACCUGGUCCUCCAGCGCCCUCGCGUCCUAGUCCUCGCUGCUGCCACGGCCCCGCAGCCUCCUCCCACCCCGGCGGUGACCUCCUGUGAUGGGCUUUUGCAGCUGGCAGAAGCUCUCUAUUUCCACUGUCCCUGAGAUGUCCUGUGGCUGGGCCUGACGCACGCAGGUGAGUCCUUUAAAGGCAGGCAGCUAUCUCGAUCAGGGAGAAGAGGAAGUCAAGAAGGAUUUGCCACGCGUUGCCGCUUUGAAGGUGUAGGGGUCCACGUGGGAAGGUGUGCAGGAGGACCUAGGACCUGACAGUGGCCCCUGGCUGACACCCAGCAAGGCGAGGGGGACCUCAUGUUUACAGUCUUAAACACGGGAAUAGAGCCUCAACAUAUCAGUCAGGAGGGAGCUGGGAAUGAAAACCACAAUGAGCUAUCACGUCACACCCACAGGGAUAGCUGUUAACAGGUGUUUAACAAGUGUCCUGAGGAGACUGGAACCCUCCCACAUUGCUGGUGGGAAUGCAAAAUGAUGGGGCAUCCUGGCACAACAGGGUGGCAUGUCAUCAAAAAACUACACAUAGGGGCGCCUGGGUGGCUCAGUUGUUAAGCGUCUGCCUUUGGCUCAGGUCACGAUCCCGGGGUCCUGGGAUCAAGCCCCACAUCGGGCUCCCUGCUCCACGGGAAGCCUGCUUCUUCCUCUCCUACUCCCCCUGCUUGUGUUCCCUCUCUCCCUGUCUCUCUUUCUGUCAAAAAAUAAAUAAAAAAUCUUUAAAAGAAAAAACUACACAUAAAGUUACCAAAUGACCCAGCAAUUUCACUUCUAGGUACAUACUCAAGAGACAUAGACACAUGUGUCCACACAAGAACUUGUACAUGAACAGGAUCCAACAUUAUACUGCUUCCACCUCCUUACCCCAACCUUUAGAACCAUUCUCACACAUUUACCCCAGGCUACUGUAUAUCUAUUGGAAAAGACGUGCUGUUGUUUUGGUGAAUAUCACAUCUUGCCAUGGGUCUCAGUUUUUCACUCACUGUCUUGGCCUGUGGGCCCUCGAGUCUAGGUACAGGUUAAGGAGCAGUGAGAGGUGAUGGUAGGAGCUACAGAGGAGGAUAAACAGGGCCCUGCCAGGCCACCAUCUCAGGUGAGACCCUUAGAGGUUCUUCAGGCAAAGGGGAAAUAACCUCUUCAGGUAGGAGUGGAAGGGCUGCCUCUGCUGGCAAAGACACAUAAUUUAGAGGUUCGGGGACCUGGACUCAUUGACAUGCACCCAUAUAUUCCCAUUCCAAUUUCCAGUAUCCUGUUUCUCCCAAUCAGUGCCCUAAUAUUAACAGAAGAGCCCUGGUGAGGUUGUGAAUUUAAUUUGUGCUGUAAUUCAGCCACUCGAAGAUUAAACUUUGGAACUGGAAUCCCCAAAUAUUGCACCCAUGGCUACAAGAGAAUGAUUUCUUUCAGGCCUGUAUCAGGACUUUUCAGGUCCUUCAUUUGGACCUUGAUCUGGGACUGUAAGGUUCCGAGCUCAGUCUUUUCUCUCCUCAAGUUCUGAAGCUCAUUUAGAAACAACAAAUCAACUCCAUAAUACUCCUAUUUUUUUCCUUCAUAAUCUUCCUUAUUUUGAUGAAAAUAUUCUAACAUAUCAUAUACUUGGUGACCCAGAGACUUGUCUUUUUUUUUUAUUCUUAUGUUAAUCCCCAUACAUUACAUCAUUAGUUUUAGAUGAAGUGUUCCAUGAUUCAUUGUUUGUGCAUAACACCCAGUGCUCCAUGCAGAACGUGCCCUCCUCAAUACCCACCACCAGGCUAACCCAUCCUCCCACCCCCCUCCCAUCUAGAACCCCCAGUUUGUUUUUCAGAGUCCAUCGUCUCUCAUGGUUUGUCUACCCCUCCGAUUUCCCCCGCUUCAUUCUUCCCCUCCCGCUACCUUCUUCUUCUUUUUUUUUUUCUUAACAUAUAUUGCAUUAUUUGUUUCACAGGUACAGAUCUGAGAUUCAACAGUCUUGCACAAUUCACAGCGCUUACCAGAGC